UCAACUGAAUCAUAACCUGCA
rnacentral:piRNA from 1 species